rnacentral:rRNA from 1 species
GAGUUUGAUCAUGGCUCAGGAUGAACGCUGGCGGCGUGCCUAACACAGCAAGCCGGACGCCCCGCUUCGGCGGGGAGUGGCGCACGGGUGCGGAACACGUAGCCAACCUGCCCGCCAGACCGGGAUAACCGCCUGAAAGGGUAGCUAAUACCGGGUACGCUCAGGAGCGGUAGGGGUUCCUGAGGAAAGCCUUCGGGUGCUGGCGGAGGGGGCUGCGGCCCAUCAGGUAGCUGGUGCGGUAACGGCGCACCAGGCCGACGACGGGUCGGGGGUCUGAGAGGAUGACCCCCCACACUGGGACUGAGACACGGCCCAGACUCCUACGGGAGGCAGCAGUGAGGGAUCUUGCACAAUGGGUGAAAGCCUGAUGCAGCGACGCCGCGUGGGCGAGGAAGGUCUUCGGAUCGUAAAGCCCUUUUCUGCGUGACGAGGAAGGACGGUAGCGCAGGAAGAAGCGUCGGCUAACUACGUGCCAGCAGCCGCGGUAAUAC